UGGUCAUUUAGAGGAAGUAAAAGUCGUAACAAGGUCUCCGUUGGUGAACCAGCGGAGGGAUCAUUACUGAGUUUACGCUCUACAACCCUUUGUGAACAUACCUAUAACUGUUGCUUCGGCGGGUAGGGUCUCCGCGACCCUCCCGGCCUCCCGCCUCCGGGCGGGUCGGCGCCCGCCGGAGGAUAACCAAACUCUGAUUUAACGACGUUUCUUCUGAGUGGUACAAGCAAAUAAUCAAAACUUUUAACAACGGAUCUCUUGGUUCUGGCAUCGAUGAAGAACGCAGCGAAAUGCGAUAAGUAAUGUGAAUUGCAGAAUUCAGUGAAUCAUCGAAUCUUUGAACGCACAUUGCGCCCGCCAGCAUUCUGGCGGGCAUGCCUGUUCGAGCGUCAUUUCAACCCUCAAGCUCUGCUUGGUGUUGGGGCCCUACAGCUGAUGUAGGCCCUCAAAGGUAGUGGCGGACCCUCUCGGAGCCUCCUUUGCGUAGUAACUUUACGUCUCGCACUGGGAUCCGGAGGGACUCUUGCCGUAAAACCCCCAAUUUUCCAAAGGUUGACCUCGGAUCAGGUAGGAAUACCCGCUGAACUUAAGCAUAUCAAUAA
rnacentral:rRNA from 1 species